AUCAGCACUGAACACAGACCACCAACCAUGGAGUCUGGGCUGAGCUGGGUUUUCCUUGUUGCUAUUUUAAAAGGUGUCCAGUGUGAGGUGCAGCUGGUGGAGUCUGGGGGAGGCUUGGUACAGCCAGGGGGGUCCCUGAGACUCUCCUGUGCAGCCUCUGGAUUCACAUUCAGUGACUACUACAUGAGCUGGGUCCACCAGCCUCCAGGGAAGGGGCUGGAGUGGGUAGGUUUAAUUAGAAACAAAGCUAAUGGUGGGACAACAGAAUACGCCGCGUCUGUGAAAGGCAGAUUCACCAUCUCAAGAGAUGAUUCCAAAAGCAUCGCCUAUCUGAAAACCGAGGACACGGCCGUGUAUUACUGUACUAGAGACACAGUGAGGGAAGGUCAGUGUGAGCCCAGACACAAACCUCCCUGCAGGGGCGCCCGGAUCCACCAGGGGGCGCUCGGGACCCACUGA